GAUGAACGCUGGCGGCGUGCCUAAUACAUGCAAGUCGAGCGAACGGACGAGAAGCUUGCUUCUCUGAUGUUAGCGGCGGACGGGUGAGUACACCUUGCAUACCCACCUAUUAAUCCGGGGGAAAUUUCGGAAAACGGCAUCAACUACCGCCUAAUAUUUUCAACGGAUGGUUUCAAAGGUAAAGAAGGUCUUGCCGGUACCUAUUAGCGGAUUCCCGCUGCAUUAGCUAGUUGGUAAGGUAACGGCUUACCAAGGCAACGAUGCAUAGCCGACCUGAGAGGGUGAUCGGCCACACUGGAACUGAGACACGGUCCAGACUCCUACGGGAGGCAGCAGUAGGGAAUCUUCCGCAAUGGGCGAAAGCCUGACGGAGCAACGCCGCGUGAGUGAUGAAGGUCUUCGGAUCGUAAAACUCUGUUAUUAGGGAAGAACAUAUGUGUAAGUAACUGUGCACAUCUUGACGGUACCUAAUCAGAAAGCCACGGCUAACUACGUG
rnacentral:rRNA from 1 species